rnacentral:tRNA from 1 species
AUAUAUCUAGUUUAACAAAACAAUAGUCUGUGGUACUAUAAUUUCAACUAUAUU